UGCAGUCGUACGAGAGUUUUUAACUCUAGUGGCGGACGGGUGAGUAACACGCUGAGAAUUUACCUUUAGGAGGGGGAUAACAAUUGGAAACGACUGCUAAUACCCCAUAUGCUUUUGAGUGAAAUGGAUUUAUAUUUAUCCGCCUAGAGAGAAGCUCGCGGCUGAUUAGCUUGUUGGUAAGGUAAGAGCUUACCAAGGCGACGAUCAGUAUCUGGUUUGAGAGGACGAUCAGACACACUGGAACUGAGACACGGUCCAGACUCCUACGGGAGGCAGCAGUGGGGAAUUUUCCGCAAUGGGCGAAAGCCUGACGGAGCAAUACCGCGUGAGGGAAGACUGCCUAUGGGUUGUAAACCUCUUUUUUCAGGGAGGAAUAAAAUGACGUGUACCUGAAGAAUAAGCAUCGGCUAACUCCGUGCCAGCAGCCGCGGUAAGACGGAGGAUGCAAGUGUUAUCCGGAAUCACUGGGCGUAAAGCGUCUGUAGGUGGUUUGAUAAGUCAACUGUUAAAUCUUGAGGCUCAACUUCAAAAUCGCAGUCGAAACUAUUAGACUAGAGUAUAGUAGAGGUAAAGGGAAUUUCCAGUGGAGCGGUGAAAUGCGUAGAUAUUGGAAAGAACACCGAUGGCGAAAGCACUUUACUGGGCUAUUACUAACACUCAGAGACGAAAGCUAGGGUAGCAAAUGGG
rnacentral:rRNA from 1 species